CUACGGAAGGUCCGGGCGUUAUCCGGAUUUAUUGGGUUUAAAGGGAGCGCAGGCGGAGAUGCAAGCGUGACGUCAAAUUUCGGGGCUCAACCCCGUCUCGCGUCGCGAACUGCGUCCCUUGGUUGCGGGAAGGGGAGGCGGAACUCGUGGUGUAGCGGUGAAAUGCAUAGAUAUCACGAAGAACUCCGAUCGCGAAGGCAGCCUUCCGGCCCGUCAACGACGCUCAUGCUCGAAGGUGCGGGUAUCAAACAGGAUUAGAUACCCUGGUAGUCCGCACAGUAAACGAUGGACACCCGCGGUUUGGCCUGUAUGGCUGAGCCGCCAAGCGAAAGCGUUAAGUGUCCCACCUGGGGAGUACGCCGGCAACAGUGAAACUUAAAUGAAUUGGCGGGG
rnacentral:rRNA from 1 species